ACUCAGGUCUCGGGUGGACCGAGAGCAGAUAGGCCGCCGUCCGCAAUCCGCCUCUCCUCGGCUCGCUCGCCCUGCUACGCCGCUGCCGCUGCCGCCGCCGCCGCUGCCGCCGCCACUACUCGGUCGCCCUGCGCCGCCGCCACCGCCCGCCAUCCUCCUCUCCUCGGCUAGGUCUCCGUGCGCCGCCACGCCGGAUCCGCGGCGGAGGAGCCCAAGGACUCCAACGGCCUCUCCUCUCCUGCUGCUCGUUGCGCUCUCGGGCUCUUCGCCGUCCACCACUUCGCUGACCAUCCCCGUCUCCCUCCCUGCGCUGCCGCCGGGCCGCCGCCGAUUCCUCCCUGCGUCGCCGCUGCCGUCCACCGCAUCGACAGGUCCGUGGUUCUGCCCGCCCACGUGGGUCUGCCUCUCGCCAACCGCCAUCCUUUACCCAUGGUCUGCAGCACUUCCUCGCCGCCCCUCUUCCUCCUCACCGCGCUCGCCCUCUGCGCUCACCGCGCCACGCCGCCCGGCGCGGCAGUGCCUCGCGCGGGAUCCCCUCCUCGACAAAUCCACCGCCACCAUCAAACAAAUGCCGCCUCCCCUUCCCCCGUGCUGCUCAUCCUUGUGUUCCCCACCUCCACCUCCCCAAUCAACAUUCGCCUCUGUGUCGCCUUCGACUGGCUCAUCCUGCGGCAUCUGCCCCAACUCAUCAGCUGUGCGAUUGAGAGGAGCUGAGGUGCAGGCCAUGGCUUGAAUUGCCCAUGAGGGAGAUGGAUUGGGAGGAGCCCGUGCUGGAUUUGUGGCUCGGGUAGGAGGAGAAUCUCAGGAGAUGUCGUGCUUUGGUUGGAGGUGCAGCAAGAAUCGAUGGAGAUCUAGAGAUGAGGUCAUGGUGGUGAUGUUGGAGCUUGGGGAUUUUAGAGAUGGAUUUAGCGUGCUGCUGCUGAUGCAUGCUGCUAUUGGAGGGAGAGAAGGUUAGCUGGGUUCAUGAUCAGCUCGUCGUGCUUGCCGGCAGGAAGAAGGGAGAACUACUGGUUGCUGCUGCAAUCAUGGUGGACAGAAGAACAGAGAAGAGGUGUGCUGCUGAUUAUAUUUGACCUGUUGCUUGCUAAUUUGGAGGAAGAAAAAGAAAGAAACUGGUUGGCAGGUUGCUAGCUAUCGAGGAUUGCUUGCUCGGUGGAGGCAGAGGGAGAAAGAGAGGUGUGAAGGAAGAAAGAUGCUACUAUGUGUUUAUUUGAGAGGAGCUGGCUUGCUAUAAGAGGCCGGGAACAUUUGUAGCGUAUUCUUCAGAACAUAUCACAAGUGCUAGCAUAUUGAAGAUUUGGAGGGCCUGGAGGACUGUGACCUGCUCUGCAAUGUGGUACUGCAGAUGAGGUUCUAGAGAGGUUGGAUGGAAGAAAAAAAUGUAGAAUCUUUAUCGUCUGGGUUCUAUGCCAGGUUUGGUUUACUAUAAGCAUGCAUAUUUAAAAAUAUUUUUCCUGGUUAAUGUACGUUAUUUGGGAUGCUGGUGAUUAGGGGGUGAGAUUUGGGAGGUUUGUCGAGUAGUUUAAUUUUAGUUUGGACACAUACCUCUGUUCCUUGAAAAAAGUUUAAUUUUAGUUUGGGAAUUCUCCAUUCUUGAUUUCACUAACCUAUCUUGGUUCUUCUGAUCUUCUCCCACUAUGAUUAUGAGAUGUUGCGAUCAAAUAAGUGGAGGUUAUUAAAUUACAUGAACUUAUAGAUAUAUUAGCAACUGUAAUGGAACUUGUGCUUCUUUAUCUAACUACCCUGUCAUGCCCCUGUUUUAUAUAAGUUUUCUGGUUAUUUGAAAUUUCACCAUAAAUAUCUGUGCUGUUUAAGUAUACAAUCAUCAAGCCUCAAACCCAAUGUCUUUUAUACAACUCUGCAGUGAGAGUUGUGUCCAGAGAAACAGAUGCUUUAUUUAAUUAUUUCCAUCCCCAACAGAUGCAGGUCUUUUUUGUGUGCAGCUUGUUGGCAGAUAAGGUACAGCUCUGCCCAUUUUAGUUGUUCCUUGAGAGCCAUAUGCGCAAUACUUCUACUUAUGAUUAGUGUUUUAUGACUAUGCCAGCACUGUGUUUCUUACAUUUUGUUUCAUGGUACAUUAGCAUGUUGUACACCCAAAUUAUAGGGGAUGGGGUAGGGCUGGUGACUGGUGGCUCCAUUGAUAUUUCUGAUGAAGAAAAUAGAGGAAGAUUAUGUGUUCAUUGAGUUUUCUGUUUACGUGAAAUCAUGUGAUGUGGUCAUUAGCAUGUUGUACAUCCAAAUUGUCGGUUGGAGUAAUCAUCUUUGUCGCAAUCUGAUAUUGUUAUGUUUUUAUCUAUUACACAUGCAAUUGCACAUGAAUUUUAAUUUUGUUUCAUUCUGUGCUUGGUAUUAAUGGUAUGCCCAAUGACAAUUUCGUGUCAUGUGAUGCGAUUCUACAUUUGUUUUGCAUGUAGGGAUAAUUUGUAUGCCCGUAGCAACGCACGUUCUCAUGAUGCAGCUGGUGGUGGAGCAAAACUGUUGCUAGACGCAUGAUUCUAGCAAGUGUGCAAAGGUUAAUGCACAACGUGGUUGUAUCAUUCAUGGUGAAUGCAGGAAUAUGAUGGAGAAAAGGGGGCUGCUGGAUUUGGCCCCCUAUAAUCCCACUCCUAUGCCAAGGUUCAUGGUGUUUGUGCCAUCGGAGGUUUCUUGCUGCUUAGCUUCAAGAUCCCUACUGGUGGUAGUAUAAUAGGCGAUAGACAUUAGAUUUAGCGGGGUUUGUUCUAAAACCAUUUCUGGACAUAAGCUUUUCUCCUAUCGAUCUACUGACUGUCCUUUUUAUAUAACUUAAUGGAUGACUCUCCAUGAUGCUUGAUUUUUGUUGCACCUGUAAUACGAAUGAACAUGAGAAGUCAUGUAUGCCUGUUUAAUAAAGUAUAAAGUUGGAUGUAUUGCAUUUA